UCAUUACUAGAGCAAAGGAUAGACAGCGCCCGCGGAGCUCGCUCCCGGGGCUACCCUACUCCCGUAGGGUUUAGAGUCGUCGGGCCUCUCGGAGAAGCUCGGUCCUGAACUCCACCCUUGAAUAAACUACCUUUGUUGCUUUGGCGGGCCGCCUCGUGCCAGCGGCUUCGGCUGUUGAGUGCCCGCCAGAGGACCCCAACUCUUGUUUUUAGUGAUGUCUGAGUACUAUAUAAUAGUUAAAACUUUCAACAACGGAUCUCUUGGUUCUGGCAUCGAUGAAGAACGCAGCGAAAUGCGAUAAGUAAUGUGAAUUGCAGAAUUCAGUGAAUCAUCGAAUCUUUGAACGCACAUUGCGCCCUCUGGUAUUCCGGGGGGCAUGCCUGUUCGAGCGUCAUUAUAACCACUCAAGCUCUCGCUUGGUAUUGGGGUUCGCGGUUUCGCGGCCCCUAAAAUCAGUGGCGGUGCCUGUCGGCUCUACGCGUAGUAAUACUCCUCGCGAUUGAGUCCGGUAGGUCUACUUGCCAGCAACCCCUAAUUUUUUUAAGGUUGACCUCGGAUCAGGUAGGGAUACCCGCUGAACUUAAGCAUAUCAAUGACGGGAGGA
rnacentral:rRNA from 1 species